GUGUGAUGUGGUCCAGAUCUGACACCCCUAUUAGCUCAACCACAGUCUUCACAGCUGCAGUCGUCUGCAUCUGAUACACCGGCCACGACAGGUGAUACAGAUCUGCCAUGCACUCCACCACUGCCUGAC